CAGCCGCCGCGGUAAUACGAAGGGUGCAAGCGUUAAUCGGAAUUACUGGGCGUAAAGCGUGCGUAGGCGGUGAGUUAAGUCUGUUGUGAAAUCCCCGGGCUCAACCUGGGAAUGGCAAUGGAUACUGGCAAGCUAGAGUGUGUCAGAGGAUGGUGGAAUUCCCGGUGUAGCGGUGAAAUGCGUAGAGAUCGGGAGGAACAUCAGUGGCGAAGGCGGCCAUCUGGGACAACACUGACGCUGAGGCACGAAAGCGUGGGGAGCAAACAGGAUUAGAUACCCCUGUAGUCCCUGUCUCUUAUAC
rnacentral:rRNA from 1 species